rnacentral:rRNA from 1 species
UACGUAGGGUGCAAGCGUUAAUCGGAAUUACUGGGCGUAAAGCGUGCGCAGGCGGUUGUGCAAGACAGAUGUGAAAUCCCCGGGCUUAACCUGGGAACUGCAUUUGUGACUGCACAGCUAGAGUGUGUCAGAGGGAGGUAGAAUUCCACGUGUAGCAGUGAAAUGCGUAGAGAUGUGGAGGAAUACCGAUGGCGAAGGCAGCCUCCUGGGAUAACACUGACGCUCAUGCACGAAAGCGUAGGGGAGCGAAACAAG